ACCACUUCUGUAAGACCUUGUCCAGCUAAUAAUUACCGUUACUGACAUUGGUCGGGCUCAUUUUUAUCCGAUUAUAUCACAUCUGCAUUUGACACGUGUUAUAUUUUUUCGGAGGACUCAGACAAAACAGGCAAGACCGACCCACCGAAAGCUACAUCUAUGUAUGGGUGGCUAACAAUUAGUGACCUUAUUCCAUCUAUACAACAUGGGACCUGCUCUAACUACUGAGUUUUGAGAGGAUAUUUACAAGCAAAGGAAGAUGUUGGAGUUAUUUUUGUUGGGUUGCACAGGGGUGGUGAUGUUUCUUCAUGGAACCAAUAUUUUUUUCAAUUACUUGUGCAAACAUGCUACAGUUCGUGGUUUGAGUUUUCUUAGUCAUAUUGGAUACUAAGACGGAUAUCAAGGAGCUCUUCUGUGUCAAGCUAGGAUGGAGAGGUUUGAUCCAUUGAUUUGUACAGAUAAUUAGCAAUGAGCAUUUCAAACAUGAAUGAUAAUAGUUUGGAGAUCCACACCUCUGAGACAAAAACAUUGAAAGGGCAAAAGCUGCUAAUCAUGUGGUUUAGUCAAAUGUAUAUAAUGGGGGCUGUAGCAAUCUUCAAAAUUUAAUGAGGUUUGAUUGAUCACGGGACCCCCCUGCCUUGCACUGUGUGUUGCUUAGGCAGCUUUAUUGUUAUUUCUGUAUUCAGUUAUUCUGUUAUCUUGCUUUCUGGAAACUGCCCAUGUGACUUUGAGGAGUGACCAUGUGUCCUCCCUUUUUUCCAUGGAUAUGUGUAUAUAUUUAUAAAUUAAUAGAAACUGAGGCACAUUUUCAUAAAAUGAGAUUUAUAAAAAUCAUAAGAGGGUCGAAGAAAUUUUUG